CCCCUAGAUGUUCUGGGCCGCACGCGCGCUACACUGAACAGUUCAACAAGUCUUAACCUUGGCCGAUAGGUCUGGGUAAUCUUUGAACGCUGUUCGUGAUUGGGAUAGACCUUUGCAAUUAUGGGUCUUCAACGAGGAAUUCCUAGUAAACGCAAGUCAUCAGCUUGCAUUGAUUACGUCCCUGCCCUUUGUACACACCGCCCGUCGCACCUGCCGAUUGAAUGGUCCGGUGAAAUCUCGGGACGGCGGCUCGGUCGCUUGCGUCCGACUGCUGAAACUUGAUUAAACCAUAUCAUUUAGAGGAAGGUGAAGUCGUAACA
rnacentral:rRNA from 1 species